UUCAUUGCACUGUCGUAAUCUGGAAUUUUUAAGGUACAAUGUUUUCUAAUUUUUAUUUUUAAUUAGAUAUAGGAUGAUAACAUUUUGGUUUUAUUCUUGUGGUGUAUAACUUAUAAGGAUGUUUUAACUAUCCUUUUGCUUUUCAUUAUAUUACUUUCCUAUAUGGCCUUCUCAUCAUGUUUGUACAUUGCGAUCAUAUUUUUCCACUCAUUGAUAUUUUUUUCUCUAAUUCCAGUGCAGAAAACAUAAAGAUCUUUAUCUAUGUAUGGCAAAGUGCCCUAGUGGGCCAUCUGUGAAGUUUUUAGUUAAUGCCAUGCAUACAAUGGAAGAAUUGAAGCUUACAGGGAACCAUCUGAAAGGUUCCCGUCCAAUUUUGACAUUUUCAUCAAAUUUUGAUAAAGAUGUCCACUAGAAACUUCUGAAGGAAAUGAUUAUUCAGGAGCAUCGACAUUCUAAACCGUACCAUGAUCAUGUAUUUGUUUUCUCUAUUGUUGAUGACCAUAUCUGGUUCCGGAAUUACCAGGUUCAACUGGAGUCGACAACUUCAUGAGUUUUCUUUCAAAGAACAUUUCCAGAGACGAACAUUCUCGGUUGGUCGUUUAUGCUUCUGCAGAAAAUCUUGUUAGAUGUAUUCUAAUGCUAUUUAAAAUAUUUUUUGAUUAAGGGCUAGUAUUUCGUACAUGUGGAUUAUUGAAACUUGUAUUAAGAUGUACAAAUAUUAUAAAUUGUAUUAUAGUGUAUAUAUAUUAAAGUGUUGGCUA